rfam:Gorilla gorilla gorilla genomic chromosome, chr5, whole genome shotgun sequence
GUCUUUGGACAUACCACCCUGAAUGCACCCGAUCUCAUCUGAUCUUGGAAGUGAAAUGGAGUCAGGCCUGGUUAGUCUUUGGAUGGGGGAAGUCUAGACACACCACUGAGAAACAUUCACGCUGCAACCU